rnacentral:rRNA from 1 species
UCACGAAAGUGAGCUGUACUAGAAGUCGCCGCGCUGACCGCAAGGAGGCAGGCGCCCAAGGUAUGACUACAUGAUUGGGGUG